UGAUGUAGUGCGUGCCGUUAUUGUCUGCCAUUUCCAGGAAACCCAUCCUAUAUCGGUUUAGCUAAUGCAGCAUUAAAACUUCGAUCGAACUAGCUUUUUGCUCGGAACUUGCGCGAUAACGCCACCACGCGGAAGAACAAAGCCAGGAGCAGGCAGGUCUGGUUUCUGUGGUGGUUUCGUAUGUGCGAGCAGCGGCGGCUUCGUCCCAGCUUUCAUCAUUUCCCGCGUUUUUCGCUGCUGCAAAGUCCAGCGGUGCAACGUUGUGCAUUCUCCGGCUCCUGUCAAAGGAUUACACGGACUUCUUCCGCAUGCGACCUGCGCAACACUGGCCACAAGAUCUGCGAAAAAAUUCUACAGGGAGGUGCCACUCCGACGUGGAUUUGGACACCACUUAUUGUCACAUGGACCAGUGCCGUCAGCGCCAUCGCAGACGGAAGGGCAGUGUGGCAACGCUGGCAUUAUGAGGGCUACGGGAUCCAGCUGUGGACGAAGACAACGACGAAUGCGCGAGCAGUGACGCGAGCGCGAGGGGCAGUAUGGAAACUCUGGUAAGUUGAGCGGCAAUGGAUCCAGCUGUGAAAGAAGACAGUGACCACGAAUGCGCGAGCAGUGACACGACGGCGUUCGCGCGGUUAGCUGAGGAGCCUGAACUGGUUAGCUGUGGAAGCAGACGACGACGAACGCGUGAGCAGUGGCACGAGCCAUAUUGAUGAUAGUUUUACUCGCACACAUGAAAAUUUCAAUGAACCCUAGCCGUAAACAGCUUCGCUAUAAAAAAAAAAACGAUCCCCGUUCGCGAACACACCGUGGCGCUUCCGCCUCUCUCGCCAUCGGCCCAUCCGCGCGGCCAAACCGAUAACAGCCCAAGAGCAGCGUAAGUUAAAGUUACGCAAUGGCCACCAUCGUUAGGCAUUGACAUAGUGGGACUGUGAAUAACAAUUAACUUGUGGGUGUUAGCCGCCGGGGUCGAGCUCACGCACACCACAGGGCAGAUACUCACGAUUCUUUAUGGACACAGUUGCCCCCUGGGAAAAUAUUUGUUCGUUGUUGCUCGAAGUUCCCAUAGUCGGGCAACCCGGUGUUGCACUCGACGCGUGCGCAAAGCACGCGCAGCCCCAACGAAAUGCCCAGUGGUCCCCGAGGCCAUGGCUGGGUGCGGUGAGCCCAACGCGUUCUCUUACAUUAUCGCCUUGCACAGCCGAUCGGUGAAAGUGCACGAAAACCUAACUUGUCGCCGGUGGGUACCGAGCCGCACAACCUUUUCAUUACGUGUGCGAUGCACUACCAACUGUGCUACAGCGACGGCUAUCAAUUUGUCGACUAAAUCGGGAAUUUAUUUGUUAUGUGUACUACAUCUUGGCCAAUACCACUCGGAGCCAUGGCGGAUGCCGAAAAACCUUUUUUUGCCCGUUCCGUAGAGAGCAGGAACGUGGCUAAUAAAACCUCGUAUGCUACCUAAUGGCAUCAAAACUGUCAGAUUCGAGACCUUCGCUAUGUGUGAAUGAGGAGAAUGAACAGAGUGGCUCGACUUUUGUUAAUCACGACCAUAUGAAGCCAGCAGGCAAUGAAGCCAAGGAAUGCAUAGAAGUAAUCAGCUGUGCUUUAAACAGAAAUCUAGAGAACGGAGAGAAAGUGGACGAAAAGAUAACUUGUCGCCGGCGAGUACCGAACCUACAACCUUUGCAUUACGCGUCUGAUGCACUACAAACUGUGCUACAUCGACGGCCAUCAACGUGCAUAUCUCCACUGAAGUGAUGUUGAAGCGUGUAAUUUUAGUUCUGGCCACAAGAUCGACGGUGAAAUGGCAAGACAA